GUUAUAGGCCCACGAUUUCCAAGAUGGCUUCAUUCUCCAAAACAUUUACAAAAGGUGGAUUUAUCAAACUUAGGAAUUUCAAGUGAUAUUCCCUAUUGGUUUUGGAACAUGUCUACACAAUUUCUCUAUCUAAAUCUCUCUCACAACCAAACAUAUGGAGUCAUUCCAGAUAUCCCCAAUAUUGAUCUAUCUUUUUCAUGGAUUGACUUGAGU
rnacentral:misc_RNA from 1 species